GUCUGUGCAAAAAGGACCGCCAGGCCUGAAGGAUCUUCCGCUCCCACCUCUCGCUCCCUCUGGGCUUUAAAGGCUUCUCCGGCUUGGAAACAAAACCAAGCAGAUAAGGAAGGAGAUGUUUGGAUGGGAACAUGCUUUAAACAGCUGUCAGCUGCUCUCCCUGCACCCUCCUUGUUACCUGCUGGAUUUAGGCAAUAACCUGGUUUACUGCCCUGCCUGGUGCCGUCUGUGUAAUCCCUCAGCAAGGUUGUCAGGAGCUGUUGAAUUUACAGUGUGUGUAACUGAGCCAAGUGUACAUCUAAAGGAUAUAAAUUCUCUGUCUGCCUAAUUACUAGCACAUUCCCUCUGGUCUUCAAUACUGUUAGACAAAGGAUUUUCCAUUUGGGUUUUUUUUUCCCCAGGGGAACAACUUUUUAAAAUAGUAUCAAUCAAAUGUAUUUAACAUUCUGAGGUUUCCUUUUCCUGUCUCCAGAAAACUACUUUUACUUUGUUGGAUUUAAAGACGACUUUACUAUAAGAAACAAGAAAUUUGUGCAUUACUUUUAUCACAAAUAUGAGGACUCUGGCCCAGCUAAUUUUGGGACAAAUGGAUUUUUAUUUCUCUAUUCCUUAUCUCCUUUUCCUUCCCAUUCAGUUACCACCUCAGAAGUCAAAAGUACUGAGAUCUGGACCAAUGCUAACUAGCCAGAUCAUGUGUGCAAUUAAGAAUAUCCUGAGCAACUGUUGCCAAAGUCACUAAAAAUUAUUAUUUAUCACUGAGCCAGUGAGCAUCCAAAACCUUGACUUCCCACCUGGUUCUCCUGUUGAAUGGUUUUGACUAGAGAGCCAAAUCCAUCAUUUUUCAGGAUAUUUGUUUCAAGGGGUGAAAUCCUUUUCAAUCCUUGGCUAUAAUGAAGAGCUCUCCAGGAAAGUCUGAAUAGCAAAGACUUUGAAACUCCGGGCCAAAUACUGCACUGACAGACAACCAGCAUUUGGCCCCCGUGGCAAAACUGGAUGCAGACAACCUGAACAAGGGAAAAAAAAAGCCUCAGGGUGGCAAAUCUUCCUGAAGAUCAUUAAUACAGUCUCCAAAUAUGUCUGUAAGCAAGUGCAUUCAAGAAUUCUUCAAGUCUUGAAUUUUUAAGGAAGGUGAUAACAGGAGCUGCCCUAUUAUCUUACGUUUGCUUGCUUUUUUUUUUUUUUUUUUUUAAAUUAAGCAAAACAAAUGUAUUUACUCACUUUGGUUCAAGCCAGCUCCAGGGGUUGCAGAGAGCUGCGUGUCAGUAGCCACGUGCAGCAGAUGAGCUGUGGAGUGUUGCUGUUCCAGUCGCUAACCAGGCACAGAGUUGUGGCAGCUUGGCCCGAGCUGAUCCCCUCCUGGGCUGUCGGUGGACGUUCCUCAGAUGAUGCCCAAUCUCCUACAAGCCUAACGUGGAAAUUGCAAUGUGGUUUUCCUUUGGACUGUAUCUGUGGGCCAGACUAGAGAUAUAUAGAGAGAUAUAUAUAUAGUCAAUAUUUUUCUGUGUGUGGGGGGAAGAUGGGGUCAAGCUCGCUGUCUCUGACAGUGCGGAAAGUUCCUGUCGAGCCGUUUCUAUGGUCUGUAUUUCACCUGUUCUGCCACCUUGAGUUGUUGGAAUGUAUCUGUGCAGGCUUUGUGGAGCUCUGUCUGUAACCUUUUUUGUGGCUCUCGUAAUACAUAUAUAUUUUUUAAACCUCUGAGUCACUCCGGUAUUUUCGAGUGUCCGUUUCUGCCUCAGCACAUCCGUUUGCCGGGCUGGUCCGGGGUGCUCUGCCCUUCCUCCCUCCCACUCGUGCAAAUCCGGGACUGGAAGAGUAGAACUGGAAAGGCCAGUUCUGGUGCGAAGUCUGCACGUGACAAAACGUUAAAAGAAGUGACUGCAGGUUAAAUCUCAUUGUCAAGAGGCUGCUGGUAGAGUAGGAAUAUGCUCUGUCUUUAGAAGUGUCUCCUGGUUGUGACCAAUGAACCCUGUUAGUGAGGUCACAGCAAGUGCUCCAUGAAACAACCCUAAAUGAAGUUUUCUGUACUGGUUUUUGUUCAAGCUGUGGGGUUAAUAGGGAUCCUGUGAUCCAGAACACUUGCAAAUCAUUGCUACAGAGCCACUGGAAAAGAAAAUGUGUUAAUGCUAUUUGUUGAAAUGUUCUGUCCAGAUCAUCUGGGUUUAUAAAUCCCAAAGAUGUACAGUUCUUAAUCCGUCUUCAUCUGCCUCUUUCUGGUCUUUGAAAAGACGUCCAUUUGCUCUGUCAGGCUGGCUUACAACACGCACAGUUGCCAGGCCCUGCAGCUGCUGCAGGAUUUCUGAUGCCAUCAUUUGCAUAUCUAGGCUAAUUGCAUUAAGCAGGGAUCCAUUGAAGCAUGUUCUUCAUAAAUGCCACUCACAUUUGUGUGCUGUCGUGUCUUCACGUGGCAGAGAUUACCUUUUCUAGGAAAUGGCCAAACCAGGCUCCAUUGAUGCUGGCUCCAUCAAAGAGGAUUCUAUAAGCUCAUGAUCUGUUUUAAUACAUUUUAUUUAAUCGUGUCUUGGCCGACAGCAAUCUUGGCUUUCCCCUCUCUAAGUAAUGGAUAAAUUAUCCAAGUUUGUAUUCAUUUAUUCAUUAUUGUUAUUUUUUAUUCUGCAGGACAAGUUUAAGUUCACAUUUUGGAACAUAAUAAGGAGAGACAAAGGAAACUAUUUAUACAGGUGAAUAUGUCUUUUAAGGGAGAAGCAGUUUUAUAAUAAAUAGAUUAGAAUUACUACUAGAAUAGGUUUUGUUCAUCUUGUCAAAAUAACUUGAAAUUUAAAGUAAGGCUUAUUUCACAGCUGGUAUCUCUAGCCCUGAAACAUUUUUAAAAUGUCUUGGUUAGACAUUUCAAAUUAUGUGAAGAAAUAUGAUCUACUUUUACAGAUUAAAACAGUCCUAGAGAAGUGAUGGUACAUUUUCCAGUGCCUUAUAUAUAUGUGUAUAUAUUUAUAUGUAUAUAUAUAAUGCCUAUAUGUAUAUAAUGUAUAUGUAAUUGUGUACAUAUAUUCAAGUAAAACUAGUUACAGGUGUCCUACUCUGAUGUAUUUUAAAUGGAACUGAUCUGUGUUGAUAAACAAAAAGGUCAUGUCAGCAGCAAAAUACGAAAGCAAACUCACUAAAAUGUAAGCAAAUAAAGUAGACUGGAAAC